rnacentral:tRNA from 1 species
UGUAAUGUAGUUUAAUAAAAAUUCUUAUUUUACACGUAAGAGAACUCAGUGUUGAGCUUUACUA